UACGAAGGGGGCUAGCGUUGCUCGGAAUCACUGGGCGUAAAGCGCACGUAGGCGGACUCUUAAGUCAGGGGUGAAAUCCUGGAGCUCAACUCCAGAACUGCCUUUGAUACUGGGAGACUUGAGUUCGGGAGAGGUGAGUGGAACUGCGAGUGUAGAGGUGAAAUUCGUAGAUAUUCGCAAGAACACCAGUGGCGAAGGCGGCUCACUGGCCCGAUACUGACGCUGAGGUGCGAAAGCGUGGGGAGCAAACAGG
rnacentral:rRNA from 1 species